rnacentral:tRNA from 1 species
AGAGGUGCCAUGGCUCAGGGGCAGAGCAUGCGCUUGGCAUGCAGAAAGCACCAGGUUCAAACCCCGGCAUCUCCA